rnacentral:rRNA from 1 species
CCAGAAUAGAUACCCUAUUAUACUAAAACAAAAUUUAAUUCUUAUUAUUAUUAGUUAUGUUCUUAAAAAUAAAAAAAUUUGGCGGUGUUUAAUUUACUUAGGGGAACCUGUUUUAUAAUCGAUAAACCACGAAGAAUCUUACUUAUUUAGAAUUUUGUAUACCGUUAUUAUUAGAUAAUUUUUAAAGAACUAAAUAUUGAAAUUUAAAUUUAGAGUAUAUUAGAUCAAGGUGCAGACAAUAAAUAAGAAAAAAUGGGUUACAAUAAAUUUAGUUUAAAACGGACAUUAAAAUUGAAAAGAUAAUUGAAGGAGGACUUAUUUGUAAUUUAUAUUUUAAUAAGUUAAAAUGAAAUAAACACUUAAACAUGUACAUAUCGGCCGUCGC